rnacentral:rRNA from 1 species
UACGUAGGGUGCAAGCGUUAAUCGGAAUUACUGGGCGUAAAGCGUGCGCAGGCGGUUAUGUAAGACAGGUGUGAAAUCCCCGGGCUUAACCUGGGAACUGCAUUUGUGACUGCAUAGCUAGAGUACGGUAGAGGGGGAUGGAAUUCCGCAUGUAGCAGUGAAAUGCGUAGAUAUGCGGAGGAACACCGAUGGCGAAGGCAAUCCCCUGGACCUGUACUGACGCUCAUGCACGAAGCGUGGGGAGCAAACAGG